CAGGAUGACGCAGUUCCACUUGCUGGACCCUCACUACGACGAGCACCACAGGGGCCGUCUCACCGCAGAGGGAGAGUUUCUAGAGGAGAUGACGUACGAUGAUAGGUACACUCCUCUCCUAGAGAGGGCUGGCUUGGACGUCGUAUAGUUCUAGGUUCGCCGUGGACUGCCCACUUUCAACCCAGCGGCGUUGACGACUCUGGUCGACAGGUGGCGGCCAGAGACUCACACUUUCCACCUUCCCUGCGGUGAGAUGACCGUGACGCUGGAAGAUUGGCAGAAGAUUAUUGGUCUCAGCAUUAUGGGUCGUCCAGUGACCAGUCAGGCAGCACCAGGUGGUUGGAGGCAGAUGGUAGAGGCCUUCCUUGGGAGACUGCUUCCUGAUGACCUACGAGGUAGCCACAACACCAGAGUCCCACUCACCUGGCUUAGGCAGGCUUUUGGGGAGUGUCCACCUGGUGCAGACGAGCAGACGAUUGGCUACCAUUGUCGAGCUUGGAUUCUCCACCUAUUUGGUUCAGUUCUUUUUCCAGACGCGACAGGCGACAACGCGUCAUGGAUGUUUCUGCCCUGCCUGACUGACUGGGAUAUGACAGGAGGUUACAGCUGGGCUUCUGCAGUGUUGGCCUUCCUCUAUAGGCAACUUUGCGAGGCUUGUCGUCGUUCAUCGAGGACCGCUAGCUUAGGUGGGUGUGUCUACCUACUACAGCUGUGGAUGUGGGCACACAUACCCGUCGAUCGACCUAGAGAGUUUGCUCCUCGUCAGUGGUUCGUGGUAGCCAGACAUCGGCUUAAACCCACGGCUGCCUACCGCUGGGACUAGGUCGAGGAGCCAUUCGCACGACACAAGCGUGCGUACGUGGAGUACUCAAACGAGCUCGACGCACUUACUCCUUCGAUGGUGACCUGGCAACCGUAUCUUGAUCCAUAUUUUGCCAGCAUACAAUUGAGCAGCGUGUGCUCAAUAGACGAGAACAUCUACCUAAUGAGGUGUCCCCUCAUUUGUUUUUAUGCUGUUGAGUACCACUUGCCCACAGAGUUGCUCGAUAUUUUGGAUUGCGACAGGAGUUUUUGGUCGAGCCGUUCUCGACUUCAAUACAACUUCACAAGUUCGAUAGACAGAGGCAGAAGAAGGUCACAGACUUCGAGACCCACCACCGUGAUUAUAUUGAUGAAUGAGAUCAGCAGAGGGAUCUAAACUAUGUCAACGACCAGCCGCACACAAACUACAACUUCAGAAGGUAUUUGAUUUGGUAUGUUAGUGUGACUAGGUGCAAGCUUAAGGGACAGUGGACAACUGCUGACUAUGCGGAGCAAGAAUCGUCAGACGACGAAGACACUUUGUUCAACAAAGCGGCUCAGCUAGGGUCCCACAUUGAGGCUGAUCCAAUCCUUGACAGAGUGGGAAACUCUAUGCUCGUAUCUGUUAUUGAACUUGAGCAUAUCUCACAGAGAACUUCAGACAGUACUACGCUUUUGUUACUAUCAAGGGUAUCACGUCGUCUUCGUCAUGCAGCGGCUCGUUGUGGAUGCCGGUCUCUGGCGAGCGUUGACAUGCAGCUGCCUGUGCCUCCUAUGCAGCCGGACGUUUAGCGUUCCAUUUCUGCAGUUGGACCAUCUACAGCUGGACUGAGCUCCUCACAAUUGACGCGGGAUACGUUUCAAGACGUGCACCACGACGACGACGACGACGACGAUGACGCUGGCGCCGCAGGUCAGGAGGAGAUUGGACCAUCACAGCUGCAGGAUGCUCCUACAACUCAGCUAUCACAACUGACACCACGUAGAAGGUGUCCACGUGACCCUUACACUCCAGGCACCGACGCUCUUGGGGCCAAGGGCAAGGGUAAGACUAGGAGGAAAUGAAAACUACGUGAUGUGGUCUUAUGCUAAAAACUUUGUGAUAUGGACUCAUGAUAAAAACUUUGUGAUGUGAACGAUGUAUUUUGGACUAUGUUAUGUGGACAUUGUAUUAAGCACUAUGUCAUGUGGAUUUUGUCAUAUUCUCUGUUUUUUUGUGAUUUAUUGUAUGUUGAAAUAUGGUGAUGUCUUAUAAUAUGUGAUUAUUAUAACUAUGGUUGUUAAUAAAACAA